AAAAUACACACGAGCACUUUUUGGGAAAUUUUCGAACGAACUUGGCAUUUCGAAAUGACAAUCUAUUAUCGAAAAAUGAAAUGAGAAAACUUAACCUCAAUGACAAAAAUGGAUGAGUGUGUCAGGGAGUUUCAGCGAUUGGAUUUGGAAUUUAGUAAAGUAAAAAAGCUACCUUACUAUUUGUGCCACAGCUAUGAUUGCAGAUUGGACAAUACAACAGGAAAACAUGAUGCAGCUUUGGAUUGCCCGGAUUUACCACAAAUAUUGACCGAGGUGCAGGAAAUAGAGUCACAGUUGAAAGGAUUUUUGCAGAAUAACAAGGAUUUGCGCAAAAUCUAUGAAGAAAUCUCCAGUGAGAAGAAAUGUUUCGAAGGUAACGUGAAGAAUGUGUUGGAUAGGAUGCAUCCAUCAGUAGCGUUGAAAUUGAAGGACGAAUUUCCAGAGUUCAGCAACUAAAUUAAUCCCGAUUGAAUACACUUAAAUGUAUAAUAUGACAGAAUUUGUGAUUUAAUUCAGAGAGAUGAUUAAAUUAAGAAUUCCACACUA